UAAAAAACAUGUAUUCGUAUUUAUUUUCCUUCCGUUUAGUCAGAGGCGCUGAUGUCGGCAUUGUGAUUGGUGGAACAUGACUUUUGACAAAUCCUGCGCUAUCUGUGAAUCUUUAAUCUGCACUCUUGACCUGUGCUUGGUGGUGUGAACAGCGCUUGGCUCCGCGUUCUACGAAUACGAGGUCUUUCCUAAGUACUAACGUACCUAACCUACCCCAAAUUGUUUUUGUCUGGUUUCUCCUCUGUGGCGUUCCUAUUACCAUUUGUUUACAAUCUGUGUUUGUGUUUCCUAUUUGUAUAUAACACCUUAACCUCAAAUUUUUAAAAGUCAGGAAAAAAUGCUACCAUCUCACGCAAAUGUCAGCGGCCCUGAUAUGGUUUAGAACCAGAUUACAUCACGGUCGCCAACAAAUAGUGCUGGCGAAUCGCCUCGUAGCGAAGCCAUAAAAAAAGAGAAGAAGAAGAAUCUUUAAUCUGUGUUCGUGUUAGUUCGUUCGUUGUCGUUGUCGUUCACUUAUUUUAUAUGGUCGGUUAUGUGAUGUGUUUGGUGUUUGUGUUUAGUUUCUGUCACCAUAAAAAGCUGAUAUUCAGUCGUGUUUUUUGAUAUUUUUGUUAUUUCAUAAUCGAGUACCUUUUUAAAGGUAAGUUUUUCUGAUUGUAGGUACUGUUUAUCCAACAGUUUUAAAAUACGCAUUUUAUUUCGCGUUUUGUUGUUGGGUCUAAUGGCCGAUCAGCUGUUGUGUGCAGCUGAUAAAUUCAACAAGUAAACAUAUAUUUAAUCGAAAUUAAAUACUCAUAUUUCUAUGUAAAAUGUCACAUUAUUGUAUAAAUAAAUAAUUAAGAAACAAAAGUGGUUUGUGUUUUACCUUGAUUGUCCACUUGAAUAAAAUAAUAUUAAAUAUUGGAAGUACCGUAUGGAGGCUAUGGUGUACCUAGCGUGGAGGCUAGGCUAGAUAACGCUACCCUUCUUAUCCAAUCAACAGCAAGAACGUUUAAAAUUUCACACCUAUCAUGUCAAAGCUACAGACCACUUAUGUGGAGGCCAGAUUUGUAGUAUCCUUCCAAUUUUCCAGGUGCUGAAAUACGUGACAUAUUCUUUGGGGAGAGAUUAAAUAUCCAGCACGCAACCGCACUGUUGCCAGAUUUACAUCUUUAGCGGGAAGUUUAAAAUUUGACAGUUGUGUUUUCUCGAAUCCGAAUCUUAACCUUACUUUUACAGGUGAUUAUGUGUAUGUAAAUAAAUUGAAACAAGUCUUGUUUGUAUAUACUGUUAUUAUUUAAAACUCUAAAUAAUUUAUGUUAGUCUUUUAACAAAAAUGAAGCUCAAAAAACUACACUUGUUUACAGUGCAAAUGAUUUUUUAAUGGCAAGAGGGAUUUAGGAUUUCAUUUGCAGGAAAAACAUGGGCAACCUACCCAGUUGGUAAAAUUGCAAUUCAAAAACUCUUUAGAUUUUACUGUCUGGAUGGCACAGGAAGAGAAACAAAAUAAUGUUCUGUACUGCAGUCACAGGAGUACAUAGUAGAGAUAUAAUAAAAAAGCUGUUCAACAUCACCGGACACCAUUUAAUUUUUAGAAAAUGAAAAGUCUUCAGGUUGAAUGCGAUCUGUAGUAUUGCUACAUAAUGAAUGUGUUUAGAUAUGGUAUUUUUUAUUGAAUAAUCUAUACAGGCCCAACUAAAUGAAUGUAUACAUAUAUUGCAGAAAGUGCAUUUAAUGGAGCAGCAAGUUUUUUUUGUGUUUCAAUGAGGUAUUCAGUUUUUUCUUUUAGUAUAUACACAUUAUCUUGUAAAAUAGCAAGCUAAUACAGUUCGAUAUCUAGACAUUAUAGAGCUUUCAACAGGUUUACCUUUUUUAAGCUUUAUAAUUCUUUCGACAGUUUUAUUUCUUAAAUAAACAAUAACAACCGAUGUUUCAAUGGCCAUAUUAUUGGUAUUAAUUCCAUAACCCUUCCUAUAACAAUAGUCCCAUUGUUGGAAGUUAUUGCACUAGUUCUGCUGGAAAUACUUACCAAAGUUGUAUGUAUCUGCAUCAUUCAUCAGAAAUUUCAUUAAGAUUUACUUGCCAUGCCCUCUCUAUGUACCAGGGACAUAACAGUCUAGUAGGAACAGAAAACAUUACGUUCAGGCAUUGUAAAAAGUGUUAUGUCUGACAUGAAAAUAUUUGACUAUAUAAUACCAGAACGCUCAUGUAUUUUUUCAAAAAAAGUGGGUAAAUAAAAGUAUCUUUUCUAUUUGAACAUAAGAAAACAAUGGGAAAUUCAUACUGUCAUAAGUUCAAAGUGAUAGGAAAUGAGCCCAUGAGUUCCAUAAAUUGCGAUUUACCAAACUUAAUUAAUAUUUCCUUUUGCACAGCAUUCAUGGAAAUACUUAAGACAAAAAUCAUUAUUGUUAAAUUCGGGAUGAUUAUCAAUUAGUAUGCCCUGUUGGUUGUAAAAUAAUAUUGGACAUGACCCAGUCUGUAAGCAUUCAAUUACCCAUAAAUGAACACUGGUUGCGCCUACAUCCAUCUUUCAAAUCAAUGUCAUAGGAGUGUUUAAUGUUCGUGUUAUCUUGUCUUGUAAGUAAAUCAGCUCUCAAUAAUAUUUAAAAAAUGGACUAGUGGUAACAUUUUUGUUUUAAAUUAUAUUGUGUAUAUGCAAAUAUUUUACUUACAUUUUUGAAUAUGCCCAUAAUGUGUUUUAAAAUAAUAAAUGUUACUGCACAACAAUCAGUUUGAAUAUUUUUAGAUAUGUACUAGUAUUUGAUUAGUACACGAAAUGCAGCAGACAUGUUCUCUCUUCUAUCUUAAGAGCUGAUUUAAUCUCUACUUGUAUCUGUAAAGUUUAUCAUUUUUCCCAUAGCCAAUUUUAACACUCCCGGUUCCUCAACGUCUAUAUCCAAACCUGUUACAAUCACAUUAUCAUAUUUCUCUUCUCGUUCUCUAGGUAAUCUAGUCUAGUAAUUAAUUCUCGAACUGUCUUGUUUGUAUUAAAUAUCUUAAUUAUGUACUUAUUUUAUUUUUAUAAUGAAAAUUAAUAAAUUAACCAUAUGCAGCACAGCAAACAAAUGUUUUCGGAAAUAUAUUUAUAAGAAUUUAAUUGCCUCUUUUUUGUAUAGGUAUGACAUAUUAAGUAAAAACUACUACAUUUAUUAAUAUAAUAUUUAUUAUUAUACAUAAGUAAAAACUAUUUUUAUAGCUAGGAAUUACUUUAUUAAAUGGUCUUAAACCUGUUCAUAAAUUUUGUUACUAUAUUUUUUAAUUCCGAUUAUAACAAUAAUAACUUUUUAGUUUAGAUUUAGGUCAAAGUGUGUAAUGUCAUGUUUUAUGUAUUUUUUAACCCUAACACAUUUGUAUGUAGCAAAUCAUAUUUGUUAUUCUUAUCUUAUUUUAAUUAUAUUCAUUUAAGUUUUGAUUUAAUGAAAUAAACCUAUCAGUCAAAAAACUGUUGUUUAGUUGUGUACACCCAAAAACUAGCUUGAGGUAAUACAGACGUCAAUUGAAUAUGACAAAUCCACGUCAUAAAGACGUCUUUCUAUGGUCAAAAUGUCAGCCUAAAGACGUCAUUUAUUAUGUCUUAUGUCACAAAAUUACCACAAUAAAACGUUAAAUAUAAAAUUGCUCAAUUUAAUGUCAUUCAAGUUCCAUGUGAUGUAUAGGGUUUUUCAUCAACAGUCAUUUGUUUCGGCUUCUGUCAGAUUUCAUAUAAUCCGUGUAUAAUAUUAAUAUACACAGAUUAUACGAAAUGUGACAGAAGCCCGAAACAAGUACAAUCGAUGAAAAGCCCAAUUGAUGGCAAAUUGGUUAUUAAACCUGACAUUUCGGUCAUGUUUAUGUCACCGAUCAAUUAAGACUAAAAAAACACCUCAUUUAGAUGUUACUCUGUUUGCUGGUCAGUUAGAUGAUUUGAAAUACAUGGAUUACUGAAUUUUAAAAAAGUUAAGAAAAGGUAAACUAUGGAAGCACUGGGUAAAGAAGAAAGAUGCAUUAAAUAUAAUAAAAAAAGACAACCUAUGACAAUAAAACAUUAACAUCAAAAUUGUUAACCUUUAUUCUGCUCAUACUUAACAUAAUCUUCCUAGUUGAAGUCCACAUACUGUGUAUUAAAACUUAAAGCCACUUUGUGGGCGUUUUUGGCAUAUUUUAAUAAUUGUUUUUAAUAGUAAAAUGUAUUAACAAAAUAGAUAUAAAAUUAUUAUUAUUAACACAUUCAUGAACACGCUUCGCCUGUAGCCACGUCUUCUUAUACUGCUACCUAUAUCUUCUUAUUCUUACUUGCUUUGGCUUUCAAUAUAAACCACAAUAAUACCACCAUUCAUUUUUAAGUAUAUUAUAUAUGUACCUAUAUUAUGUAAGAAAAUAGAAUUUACCUAAUAACUCACCUCGUCCCCAGGUAAAGUAAAGGUGCUACACCACUUAAAUGUUUUUUCAUUCUUAUUUAUUUUGUAACUUUAGCCAGAAGUUAUAUGAUGGGAAUUAUUCAUACAAUACAUAUUAAUACUAUUAAAACUAAUACCUAUUAAUAUUCUAAAUAAUUAUUUAAUACUAAAAUAAAGAAAAAUGUCUAUCUAUACUACAUUAAUUGAGACAACAUUUUCACUUUUCUUUUUGCAGGAUCCUUGGGAUUUUAAAGCUCUUCUCUAUCUUGUUUUGUACAAUAAUUGUUUGAGAAUGGCAUACAUACAUAAUAAGAUGUUUCAUGUUCUUGUACUCCUGUGACUGAAUAUUAUUUUGUUUCUCUUUCUGUGACAUCCACACAGUAAAAUCUACAAAAACAGAACAGGUGAUUACAUGGGAAGUUAUACCAGUCUAUAUUCAUUGGUUAUACUACUUAUAGCUUACAUUUAUCUAGUAUCUACCUACAUAAAACUACCUUUGAUAUCAAUAUCAACCUUAAUACCCAAAAAAAUUAAUAAUAAUGUGGAAGUUGUUCCAUACCUACAAAUUUUACCAACUGGGUAGGUUGCCCAUGUUUUUCCUGCAAAUUAAAUCGUAAAUCCCUAUUAUUGCCAUUAAUUUGCACUGUAAACAAGUAUAUCUCUUUUGAGUUUAAUUCUUUUCAAAAGACUAACAUAACGAGUUUUAAAUUAUAACAUAGCAUAUUUUAGUACAUUACUUGGUUCAAUUUAUUUACAUUGUACAUUUUUUGUACAUAAUCAAAUCACCUGUAAAGUAAGGUUAAGAUUCGGAAUCAAAAAAAUACAACUGUCAAAUUUUAAACCAACUGACAUUAGAUAUUUUAAAAUUCCCGCUAAAAGAAAAGAAGUAAAUCUGGCAACAGUGCGGUUGCGUGCUGGAUAUUUAAUCUCUCCCUAUUCUUUGAAGGGUAAGAUCGCAUUCUACCAAAUCACACAACACUUUUUUCUAUGUUGUUUAUUUUUCGUUUACUCAGGUUUAACCUCACUUAACUAGAUAGAUCGAGAAAUAUUAAAUUACUAUUACUAUUAUUCAGGUUGAAAAAUGCCUUCCUCUAAGGUAAAAGGUUGCGAAGUCGAUUGGGGAAAAAUAAUGUGAAAAUGAAUUCUUUCCCAAAAGAAUCUGAACGACGGAAAGUGUGGAUUAAAAAUAUAGGGUUAAAACAAGAUCCAAACAAAUAUGCUGUUGUUUGUGAAGUAAGUUCUUCAAGUAAAAUUAAUUGAGUAUUUGCAUUUGAUGCAUUCUCUUUAUAAUAUUUAUAUCAUUAAAAAAUAUUGUAUUCAAUUUUUGAAUGUUUAGGAACACUACUUCUGACAUGUUGAAAAAAGUUAGACAAGAUGGCAGCAGAAAAUUAAAAUGCAAUGCUGUACCAACAAUAUUUAGAGAAGAAAGCGAAAGUAUUUAAUUAUUUAUAUUGGUUUUUUGUUUAUUCACCAAUUUAACACCUAUAGAUAUUUGUAUAACAAGAGAGCGAAGUGCACCUUUUCCUCCCAAAAAUAAAGUUUACUAGUUUACUACAGUAAUCAUUCAAGGGAGGAAAAGGCACUUCUCCCAUGUUAUACAUUUUUCCACCUCCCUCAAAUAAGUAAUUUUUUCAUUUUUAAAAUAUUUAUAUAACUGUUGAUUGAAUACAUGAAUCAUAAUUGAAUACAGGAAUUUGUGUAUUCAAUCAACAAUAGAACUAACAAAAUUUAUUAGAGAACUAAAACUAACAAGUAGGUACAGUAUAACUAUCAAAUUAUUAAUGAAAAAUUUUUAAAUCAAAAUAACAAUUUACUGUUUUUACCAUUUUGCAACAUCUAUAAAUAAAAUUUAAAAUGUAUGGAUACUUACCUAAUAGAAAAUAGAGUAAUAGUAUAGGGUGUCAAUAAGUUAUUUCAUCUAUGCUAUGACAUAGUAUGACGUCAACAUCACUUUUACUUUUACUCCCUAGGGAUUAAAAGUACUUUGUUUCCCUAGGGAGAAAAAAAUAUGACUAUGCUCCCUACAAUGAGGCCAGGAAAUGUAUACUUUGGAUAGAGGUAGGUGGGAAAAUCUGUUUUAUUCAGUUAUUGUGAUUUGUUUCUUACAGACAAUCGGUUUGUUCUAGCAUGAGUUUCAAACGGUCUGAAACCAUUAGCGAAUAGUGGACCAGCGUGAGUAGAGGGCACUCGUAACUGUAUUAUGUUCUCUCACUGACCAACUGUUUGCUGACUAGUUUGACUGUUUGCUAGAACAAACCUAUUAUUCAAACAAAAUGUCCUCUACGUCAGACUGAUCAGAAUUUUAAAAAUGUGUCAUAUCAAUCAAAUCAAAAAAUUUCAAAAAUUGUUCCUGUAACCAUUUUUAGUGGAAAUAAUAACAGUACUUAUAUUGGAUCAGAGAGCCACCCAAUUCAUUGUUAAAGUAUGAUAAACUAAAAGUUAAACAAUUAGGCAUGCACUUCAUAUUAUAUUUAAUGAAAUAUAACUCACUGGUACUCAUACAAACUUGACGGCAAGCAAAUUCAACAAAUUUUUCCUCAUUUAUUAGUUUUUCACUACCGUUAAGUUUGGAAACAAGCGCUGUUGCCAAAUAAAAACAUCUACAGUCGGAAAAAUGAAAGAAUACCCAUGAACGAUCACAUCAAUCACAUAUUUUGUAUUUGCUGUUUUUUUUUCAUAAAUAAUAAAUGAGAGAGAUAGAUUAUUAAUAAUCUGAAUAAUAUGUGAUUGAUGUGAUCGUUCAUGGGUAUUCUUUAAUUUUUUCGACGGUAUGUAUUUACCACAGCAACUACAGGUGACACUGUUUCUCUUUGUCUUUAAGAGUGUGAAACAAAGAUAACUACAGUGGGAAAAAUAAAUAAUACCCAUGAACGAUCACAUCGAUCACUUAUUUUGUGUUUCCUAUCUUUUUCUAUAACAAACGUUUAUUAUUUAUAGAAAAAGACAACAAACAUAAAUUAAGUGAUUGAUGUGAUCAUACAUGGGUAUUCUUUCAUUUUUCCAACUGUAUCUGUAAUAUACGUUGAGCUCGUAGGUAGAGGGGAUAAUUAAAAAAUCGCGAGAGCCAGUAGUGACAAGUCUGUAAACCUUUACUGGAAAUUUGACAUAAAUGUCAAAGUGAAUAAUUUAAAAUUGAAAUUAAAAACAUUAAUUAGAAAAAAUAUUAGUUGGUCAAAGCUGUGGUAUAUAUUUUUAUCUUAAGUAUACUUACGGUUUAAAUACUGAAUUAAGUUUUUUUAAUAUUUUGUAAUAUCUAAUUAUAAUUAGAUAUAAAUCAUCUAAGCGCCAUCUACACGAUAAUUGUGAAUGUAUCUGAAGUAAGAAAUUAAUAUUUCAUUAAGAGAACGUUAAAACAGUUAGCAAAAUUUUUAAAAAAUCGAUUACAAUUUAAUUACUUUUUUGCGUUGUAAAUAUUAAGCGAUAAAAUUAAAUAAUAAAUUUAAAAAUUACUGGUGAAAGUUGAAUUAGUAAUCCGCUAGGAGCGACACCAGCGAAGCUCAGAGCGUAUAAGUGGGUGUGUUUGGACGACCAUAGCGGCUGAAUGUCAGCAGAAAUCGGCUGAGUGGUUGUAUCCAGCUGUGAUAGGGAAAGCUUAGUAAAUCUCUCAGCGGCUGACUUCCAGCGGUGAUGUCUGACAGCUACUGCUGGCUCAGCUGUCCAGCCGCUGUGGUCAUCCGAACGCACCCAGUGUCAGUCAUGUUUUCCUAUAGUAUAGAAGGCUUAGAUAGAAGGUUAUGUAAGAUUUUUGUUUGUUAAUUUUUUCUUCUUCUUUUGUGGCCUUUGGAAGCUGUGCCCAUUUAGCCAGCAACAUUUCUUAAAAUUAAUGCCUAACUAAACCUACCAUACAAAAAAACCAUUACGAACCUAAACGACCAAUCAAGGAUACGUAAGGGAAAGUAAAGUUAUUUAAAAAAUAAACUGUUGUUAAAAUAUAAACUAAAUAAAUAAAAUAUAAAUUGAAAACAAUAAUUUGACAUUAUAAAUGUAACCUCCAAUAUUAUGACAGACGUCAGUUACCAUGACAUCAUAUAUUAUACUAGUCACUAAUUCUAGCCAAUGAAAUGCUUGCUGUAAUAGGAAUGGCAUAUCAAAAAAAUCUGACUAUUCUCUAUAUAUUUUUUCAAAUUUAGAAUAUGGCAACAAGGUGAAAGUUAUGUGCAUUCCUCAUUGUUUAACUUUUCCUAUAUCUUUAGUAUCAGGUCAUCGUACAAUACAAAUACUUCCUGCAAUGAUUGGAAGUAAUGCAGAACAAGAAUUGGAUUUGGAAUCGCCGAGAAAAAGGAAUGGUGUACAAAAUAAGAAAGUAUAUAAAGGACAACAAACAUCUUCCAUAAGCGAUCAAAAUUGUAUAACUGAAAUUCAGGAAAUAGAUUCUGCUCCACCUUUAGGUAUAAAAAAUAUUUUGACAUUUUUUUUUAUUUAAUACACAAUUUAAUUAUUAUAAAUUAAUUUAUAAAUUAUAUUUAUAAAUUUAAUUAAUAAUAAAAUUAUUAUAAAUUAAAAUAAAUUAAAAAUUAUUAUUAUCAAAUUGAAACCCAAUUGGGUAUUCUCUCAUUGCGUGACCGACGAGUAAUUAAGGAUGCAAGGAUGCUCUAUGGCAUAAUUAAUUCAACAGUUUUGUGUCCUCAGCUACUUGAGCAGGUUGGUCUCCAUGUACCUCUCCGCAGAACUCGAUUAAAUCAAACAUUCUAUGUUCCUAUCCAUAGAACCAACUAUGCAUAUAACAACUUUUUAUCUCGAGCACUAAGAUGGGCAAACACUCAACCUGAUCUAGAUUUCUUUGCACCGAAGUCUGAAUUCAUCUCUAGCCUCAGACGUUUGUUUGUUUGAGUAGUUGUUGGAUAUUCAUUAUUGUGAUAUAUGAAUCUGAUUUAUGUGUUUAAGUUUGUGAUAUUUAUAUUUUAUUGUAUUAUUGUUUUAUUAUUACUAUUUUACUGUAGUUUUAUUAUUAUUGACACAUGUAUUAUGUAUAUUGGACUUAUAAACUUGUAAUCUUAUUGGGCAGUGUCCCGUUGAAAAUAAAUAAAUAAAUAAAUUUAAUUUACCAUCUGAUCAUGAAGCUAUAAGUAAAUGGUGUGAAUGUUGAACACAUGAGGGAGAAGCUGCCCUGUGGCAACUCUCCUGUAUAAUAUAUUUUAUAUUAGUUCACAUAAAUAGUUAAUUUAUUAAGUCUGUUGGCCAUGGUUUCUUCAGUCACCUUUCAAAUCCAGGAGGGGUAUUUAGCAGUCUUGAUUCGUUACUUGGAUGAUCCGUUGUCCAUCAAAGAAGUUUCUUGUGAUUAUUCCAAUUUCUUCCUCUACCAAGGACGUGGCAGAGUCAUCUUGUAUAGGGUUUUGUUCAAGUGUAAACACUUUUUUGCGCCAGUCCAGAGCUGUCUGCCAGCGCUGUCUUGAAUAGAAAGGUGGUCUAUUUUUCAUGCCACUGGCAUUCCAGUGAGACUGGCACCAGUUUCUGGAUACAUGUAAACGUUACUUUAUUUUAUGUAAAUAUUAUUUUCAUUCUAGAAUCAAAGGGAGACUCUUUUAACAGGUAAAUGACGCUAUCAUUCUUUUUGUUCUAGAAAAACUGUAAAUAGUAUUUAAGUUAACGAUUGUGAAUGAGUGAGAAGUCUAAUAAAGCCACGACGAGAUACUGUAUUAGAGCGUACGAUUUGGAGGUAUUUUUGAUUAGAUAAAUUUUGUAAAGUACAAUAUAAAUUAGAUUUGAUAAUAUGUAGUAUUUCCUAAUAAAUUAAAUACUAUUAAGUGUUUAUUGUUCUUGUAAGUUAGUGUGGUAAAUAAAUAAUAUGAAGUAAG
rnacentral:lncRNA from 1 species